CGGGAAACCGGAGCUAAUACGGAUAAUAUAUUGAACCGCAUGGUUCAAUAGUGAAAGACGGUUUUGCUGUCACUUAUAGAUGGAUCCGCGCUGCAUUAGCUAGUUGGUAAGGUAACGGCUUACCAAGGCAACGAUGCGUAGCCGACCUGAGAGGGUGAUCGGCCACACUGGAACUGAGACACGGUCCAGACUCCUACGGGAGGCAGCAGCC
rnacentral:rRNA from 1 species